GGCCGCCCGGAGGUGGGACGGAGGGAAAGGCGACGGACACCCGCCCCAGCCAAUCCGCGGCUCGCAGGAUCCCACAGAAGGGAAGGAGCAGCCUGCCCCUGUCGAGGAAAUAACAGGUCUCAAGACAAGAUGCUGCAGCUCCAGUUUGAGGCCUGUGAGAGAGGAGGGACACCUGACCUGGAUCCUCAGGUGCUUCCCCCUGACCUGCACCGGACUGGGCUCCUGCAGUCUUGAGAGUCCUCUCUAUAAAGUGUCUCUCGCGUAUCUGUCUCCCUACCUGGAGAUGAUAAGGUGCCUUUCUCACAGGGUCACGGAAAGAUGAAGCAGAUUACUAUCUCAAAAUGUGCUCGGCACGUAACAUGCUUCUUGUCGUUGGUGUCAGGAGUCUUGAUAUUUUACUGAGAUAACACAAAAGAUUUAGUAGAGAAGAGCAGAAUCUGGCUGGGAAAGGAAAUCCAUGUAUGGAGUUCACAUCCCGUCCGUCCCUAAAAUGGUAUCAAUAAAGCCCUCUGUCGUCCAUAGAGAGCUCAGUGUGCUGAAUUGACAUUUUGCAAGCAUAUUUCAUCUCUACUACUCACAACACUACAAGAUAUGCUUGCCGUGGUUUGUGCCCCCAAAAAGCAUGUUUUGGAAACAAUCUCAUGUGCAACAGUGUUAGGAGGUAGGGCCUAAGGAGACGUGUUGAGAACCUAAGGCCCCAACCCUCACGGAUGGAUUAACGCCAACUGUAAAAGGGUUGAAUCUACAAGUGUAAUCUCUUGCUCUCACUGUGGUCUUUUUCGGCUUUUGCUUUCAGACAAAGGAUGAUGCAGCCAGAGGGCUUUUACAAGAUGCAGUCCUUCAACCUAAACUCCUCAGCUUUUCUAGCACUAUGAAAAAACAAAUUUAUCUUCUUUAUAAGUUCCCAAGCCUCUAGUAUUCUGUUAUAGUAACACAAAAUAGAGUAGGACAAUUUUCAAUACCCACUGUACAGAUGAACAAGCUGAGGUUCACAGCAAUGACAGGUUUUAGGUUCUAGUAAGUGGAAUUCUUUCUAUCCUAUUGUUCAAAUACCUCGUAAGUAAAGGUGAACAAUAGGAAAAGAAAAGAUGAAACAAAAAAGAAAACGACUGACAUAGAGAACUGGAGAGAAAAAAAUACCUCCUAAAAGUGAGGAAGACAUCAGUCUCUUGUGCCUAUACCAUCAGUCUCAAAGGUCAGUGUAAUUUAUACUGAAGAAUUUGUCCCAGGCUCUCUUACAAUGCCGUCCCACCCACAGAACUCUAAUUAGUACUUACAGAUCACCUCUGCUCCCCUUACUUUGUUGUAUGUGGCCACAUAGCACUGAUUUCCUUGUGGCACUCCAUACAUUUUAUGCUUUAUUUGAUACCAUCUGUGUACACAGCCACACAUGAGCGCUCCAUAUGAGCUUCAUGUGAGCAGCGGUUUUCUCUUUGUUGUGUUUGCUGUUAUAUCCCUGGCACCUACAAGAAGGUAUGGCCCCCGCCUUAGAACACCUGUGGGGUACAACAUCUGCCCUUCCUGAGACCUAAGAGCACCUCGAGUAGCACACAGUUGAGCAUGUAGCCAAAGUACUUUGUUACAAGAAUAAUACAGGAGCCAUGACACGCGCUGCCAGGGUUGAAAGUACUAAAUGAUCAACUUCAAAUAAAAACAUAUCCCUACCAGAGCUUGCUAAACAAUGAAUGUUUUUCUUCAUUCAUCUUGUGGAGAAAGAAGAAAAGAACAAAC
ensembl:lincRNA